rnacentral:rRNA from 1 species
CACGAACGCUGGCGGCAGGCUUAACACAUGCAAGUCGAGCGCCCCGCAAGGGGAGCGGCAGACGGGUGAGUAACGCGUGGGAAUCUACCCAUCUCUACGGAAUAACGCAUGGAAACGUGUGCUAAUACCGUAUACGUCCUUCGGGAGAAAGAUUUAUCGGAGAUGGAUGAGCCCGCGUUGGAUUAGCUAGUUGGUGGGGUAAAGGCCUACCAAGGCGACGAUCCAUAGCUGGUCUGAGAGGAUGAUCAGCCACACUGGGACUGAGACACGGCCCAGACUCCUACGGGAGGCAGCAGUGGGGAAUAUUGGACAAUGGGCGAAAGCCUGAUCCAGCCAUGCCGCGUGAGUGAAGAAGGCCUUCGGGUUGUAAAGCUCUUUCAGCGGGGACGAUGAUGACGGUACCCGCAGAAGAAGCCCCGGCUAACUUCGUGCCAGCCGCCGCUGUAAAAC